UGUAUAGGGAUCUGCCUAGUAGUGGGGGACAACAGCCGGAAACGGCUGCUAAUACCGCAUACGCUCUACGGAGGAAAGCGGGGGCUCUUCGGACCUCGUGCUAUUAGAUGAACCUAUAUCAGAUUAGCUAGUUGGUGGGGUAAAGGCCUACCAAGGCGACGAUCUGUAGCUGGUCUGAGAGGAUGAUCAGCCACACUGGGACUGAGACACGGCCCAGACUCCUACGGGAGGCAGCAGUGGGGAAUAUUGGACAAUGGGGGCAACCCUGAUCCAGCAAUGCCGCGUGUGUGAAGAAGGCCU
rnacentral:rRNA from 1 species